GCGGGCACGUGGCCCUCGCCGGGCAUCCUCAGCGACUCUUGCAACCCCAGCCCGGCCACCCCCGGUCCCCGGAAGAGCAUCCCGGAGCCCCCCUGCGCCAGGCCCAGUUCGUGGGGGCUCCCGUCGGGAGGCAGGUUGGAGCCACCCAGCCUGCGAGGCAGGAGGUCUCCGGGGGGCGGAGGCGGCGGGUGGGGUCCGGGGAACCAGGCGCUCUCUUGUGCCAAGUGCGGGUUCUGCGGGUCGAAGUUCCCCAGGCGGGCGCCCCCGCCCCCGCCGCCGCCGGAGCCCCCGCCGCCGCCCCCGCCGCCCCCGCCGCCCUCCCGCUCAAAGCUGGCCUGGGCCAGGCCGGCCACCGGGCCCCCGUGCACCAGGCCGCCGGCCGGCCCCACGUCCCCGGGGUGGCCGAGCGGCGGCAGGCCGGGCUGGCGCAGCCGCUGCUGCUGCUGCUGCUGUUGCUGCUGCUGCUGCUGCUGCUGCUGGGUGCGGGACGCCAUCUGCUUCAUCAUGAGGGCCGCGUUCUGGCGUUGCUGCUGCUGCUGCUGCUGCUGCUGCUGCUGCUGUUGCUGCUGCUGCUGCAAGGCCUGGGGGUCCGGGCCGGGAUGCUGCAGGGCCGGGCCCGGGGGGAAGGCGUCGGGCACCGGGGGGGUGAAGUCCCCCGGCAGGCCCGGGUAGGCCGAAGGGGACAGGUGGUUGUCCAGCGCUCCGCUGUGCAGGCUCCCGUUCCACGAGGCGCAGCGGUCCACGCUCGGGGUGCCCGGGAAGUCGAACCUCGCCCUCUUGGCCACGUUCAUGUAGGGGGCAUCGAAGUGCUGCAGCCUCUGGUUCGGCGCCUGCGGCGGCGGCUGCUGAGGGGCAGGGGGAGGCGGCGGGUGCUGCAUGGUGAACACCGGGUCGGAAUAGGGGUGCAUGCUCCUGUUCUCCAGUCUGUGGAUGGGGUACUCGAACUGCGCGUGCUGGUUCGGAAGGAUGGGCCCGCCGUCCUGCAAGCUGCCGCCCGCCGGGGUGGCGUCCGCCUGGGGCUGCCGGGGGAUGGUCGGGGGGCAAGAGUUUUGUCUGGCCAGCAAGCCGGGCUGCUGCUGCUGCUGCUGCUGCUGCGGGGGCUGCGGCUGGGGCGGCUGCGGGGCCUGUGGCAUUAAGGGGUGCCUGGCCGCGUUCACCCCGGCUUCCAUGCCCACUGCCAUCUUCCGGGCCCCUCCAAACCUCUCGAAGAAGACUCCGCCGCCGUGCUGCGGCUGCGGCGGCGGCGGCGGCGGCGGCGGCGGCGGCUGCUGCGGGUGAAUCUUGGACAUAGCCACCAUGCCCGGGGCUCUGGGCAGGGCCGCGGCUCCGGGGAAGGCGCCCCCGGGCACCUGUCUGCCGCUCCCGUAGUGAGGCAGCUGGCCCUCGGAGUCCGAGGGCGAAAACACGGGCAGAUCGAAGUGUCCCGAGGGCCCGUCGCCGGGGUAAUUGUAUUCCAGGGACUCGACGCCCCCUUGGUUGGCCAUCCUGCGGGCCUCCAGGCUGUGCGAGUCGGAGCUGCUAGAGGCCGGGAGGCCGUGGAAGGAGGCCGCCCGGUUGGGGGACUGAUCCAGCGGGAGGCACGGGGCGGGAACCGCGUGGCCCGAGGGGCCCGAGCCGUGGUGUUGGAACUCGGGGAUGUUGCCGGGCCUCUGCUGCCCGAAACCUUCGCCCCCCUGGGUGUCCGCCAUGUGCUCGUAGCCCUCGGCGAAGCCGGGCUGGCUGCCCAGGCCGCCCCCGCCGCCGCCGUAGCCCAAGAGGCGGCCCCCGUGCAGGCAGGAGGCGCCGGGAUCCGGGCCUGCGAAGUUGCCGCCGAAGUGGGGGUGGUGCUGGUGAGGAUGGUGGCCGCCGGGGUGGCCGUGGUGAGGCUGCUGGCCGCCGAAGAAGCCGUGCACCGGCUGCGGCUGCAAGCCCCCGGCGUGCAGCUCCGAGUGGCCGCGCCCGUGGAAGGCGUAGGGCUCCCCGGCCAUGCCCAUGUUCAUCCCCAGGAGAGGGGGCUCGCCCAGGGCGCCGAUGCUCGGGUCCGCCGGCCCCCCCGCGUGGAAAGCGGGGGCUUUGAAGUGGCCGUUCAUAUUCAGGCCGGGUUCGCCAAAGUUUCUGUCGCCUUGGCCAGCGUUUCUGUUAUUGAUCGGAGGCUCAAACUGAUCCAGGCCAAACAUACUUUCGGGGGAGGGGGGGGAGGGGCGGGGGGCGGAGGACAAUCAGUAGGGCAUGACAGCCGCUUUCUCCCCGCGCGCCUCCUGCCAGCAGCGAGCUCUGCCCCCGGGACCGGCACUCCGAGGCGGCUCGGGGCGCGCUCAACUGGGGUGAGGGCGCAGCGCGCGCCAGCCGCCUCGCCCUGGGGCCGGAUCCGGGGCCGGGGGGCCGGGGACACCGCGGAGGGGGGUGGGGGAGGGAGCGCGGGGGCUGGGGGAGGGGGUCUCCGCUCCUCACCCGAGAUACUGCCUCAGCUCGAAUCCCGCGUGCAGGGUUCACAUCUUGCGGGGGGAGGCCCCGGGGGAGGCAGCCAGCCCCGGGGUUCCCACGGGCUGGGUCAGGGGGAAAGGGGACGGGAAGGGGCGGGGGGGAGCCGGCCCCGGGGCCGCCUCGGCGGGGGAACGGGGCCGGGCCCGGGGAAAAAGAAAGUGGGGAGAAGGGGGGAAGGGGGGGGGGAGAAAAGGCGAUCACCUUCUCAAGUCCAAACGGCUCGGGCUCCGGAGAGAUGCCGCCCGCAAGCCGGGAGCGCCAGCCGAAAGGCCCCGCCAAGGGGAGUCAUUCAGGGCAGGCUAGCGCCGGAGGACGGAAGGGCCCCCUCCCGGAGUCUCCGCCGCUCCCGCCCGCUGUCCAAAUAUUCGCUGGCCCGGCUGGCUCGGAGCCGCCCCCCCCCUCACCCCCCGCUCUCCCGCAGACAGCGCGUUCCAAGCAGCCUCUGUUCUAGGGGAUCCGGGCGUUGGAGGCUCCGCUCCGCAUGGCGAACGUAGGGGCCCCCGAGCCGGGCUCGCUGCAGAGCCGGGGACGUGCCGAGGGAGUCCCGCACCGGGGCCGGAGCUUCGGGGCUGCCGGCUCCGCGCGGACCGCCGGGCUCGGGGACGGCCCCGAGGCGUGGGGCUGGGGGCCGCGGGCGGACGUCCGGACGCCUUCCCCUCCGCGGGACCGGGCGCCCCCGGCUCCGAGCCGGCGGGGCGAGCGCCUUGCCGCACUCAGACGCUCCGGGGGCCGGCCGCCUCGGCCGCCUCGCCUGCUUCCCCUUCCGUCCUGCGAUCGCUUCGCCCGCUCCCUUCCUUUUCUCGACCGUUGGUUCGGGGCUCGGAGUUUGGCCGCACUCGCUCGCUCGCUCGCUCGCUGGGCUCCCGGCUCCGGCUGCUGAGGGGAGGGGGAGAGGUUGGUUCUUGGGCUCUGCGCUGCCCGGCCUCUGCCCCGAGGUGCUUCCGAGCCUCCACUCCCCCUUUCGGACUGGGGAGGGGGAGAAAGGAGGGGGGGAGGUUGAGGACGGGUGGGAGGCACAGACCCGAAGAGGGGGGCUGUGGCGCUCUGGGCUCCUCUCUCUGGGCUCAGGGGAAGGGAGGAACGUAGGGCCUUCGCUCCCCUCUCCCGGCUGGGGGCGGGGGGGGGAGGCCUCGGUGUGGGGCGCUCCGAGGGUCUCCCUCCGCUCCCCUCUCUCUGUCUCUGUCUCUCGCCCUGCGCUCGGGAACCAGCAACAAGUUUUGCAUUUCAGCAAUCAAUUUCAGCCAUUAGGUCUGCGCCAAUCAGCGGGACGCGAGCUCCGGGCCCGGGGCGGGGCUCACUCUUAAGGUGGUCCGGAGCUGAGGCCGGGGAGCCAGCCCCCGCAGAGAGCCGGUGCUUCCCCCCAUACGUCCCACCCCUAACCAACCCCUCCCCCCGUCACCGCCAGUAUCCCCAGUGCCCUCGGCACCUCGGGCCUCGGGGUCCGCGGUGGGGGGUGGGGGUGACCGGGGAGCUAGGAUGGGGGGUGGGGGGGAAGAGGAGAGAGUGAAAGCGGGGGACUUACGAGAGGGAGAAGGAGGGAGAGCGGGGCUUUGUUCCAUUUCCCGUGCAGUGCCCCCCACCCCCUGCCCCUCGUCUCCUCCCCGCCGCCACUGAUCCGGAGCGGGACUCACCGGGCCGGCUGGGAGCGGGGAGGGGGACCGGGAGGGACAGAGGUGGGAGGUGGGCGGCGGUUCGGGCCGAGUGGUGCGGGACGCCUAGACAAUGGGGUCGGGAGGCGAAGCCCCGGGACUGGCCUCGGAAAGUCGCCAAGUGGUGGCCGGGAGCGAACCGCCGGCGCAGGCCGACGCU
rnacentral:lncRNA from 1 species